CUUUACUGGGGGCACCUUCGGGCGUGAGGCGGUCCUCAGGUUGAAGGCGUGGUGACCCUGAGCUAGGUUAACCGGCGAAAGGGAAGCUGGAACAGACGUCCGUCCCCGACUACGCUGCUCUGAAAAGAAAUGUGUUCUUUCUUCUUUUAUAUCCUUCAUAACGGACCAAAUAUUGCCUACUUGCCAUAGACAUCUGCUGUCAAUACGUGCUGUAAUUUGACAUUCUGAAUCACAGACGUGACGGCAUUGAAAACGUAUUCAUACUUGUAGAAAGAAACCAGACAUCCCUUCAAAGUUUCUACACUACUUCUUAAACUGGACCUUUGUCUGCCGUUUAGGCCGGCAGAGUUACUUGAAUCUUCAGUCCAGGAACCAGAAGCCCAGGAAGCAGAUACUGCAUGAGGGAUGGAAACCACGCUGUUGAAAGCUUGCUUCGUGCUGGUUCCUUCGUGUGCGGUGCCUUCAAUCCUACAGCUGGGCAUGGCUUUCCACAUCCUGGAGGGGAAGAAGCAGAGGCUAGGCAAGGCCAAAUGGCCUGCCUGGGGUCCCUUGGCAAUGUGCGUCAGGGCUGGAUGGGUGCUCCAGAUGCCUGCUCUCUCACAGAGGCCGAUCGCAGCUUCACUUCACUGUGGAAGGAUCUGAGGAGGGUGCAGUUGCAGGCAUGGUUUGCACAGGAUGUGGAGAGAAGAUUCAAGGGUCAACCCAGAAUAAGGUUGGGUGGGACUGCCCUUUCAAGUCCUUCCUAACUUUGAAAUUCCACAGUCGUGUGAGGUGGGCUUGGUAUGUGAUCUGUGUAUAACAAAUGAAUGGAGUGGAAAGAGUAUUGGGUUUGGAAAUUGGAGGUUACCAGGCAGCCUUUGGCAAAUCAUGUAACUUGUCUGAGCCUGAUUUCCCCCAUCUCCAAAUGGAGAUGAUUCUCCACUCAUCUCCCACAGGAUGUGAACGUGCGCUGGGUACCAACAGACUGCUGUCAGGGAGCAGGACAGUGGCAGCUGGGAGGCACACUCACAGUGAAAUGGGGACAUUAUUUGUACCUAUCUCAUGUGACUGUUGUGGGAUUGAAAUGACACGUGCCAGGCACCAAGACUGGCAAAGAGCAAGUGCUUAGUCCUGGGGGCUCUGUUUAUUUUUAUGUUGACGGAGGCGCUUAGGAGAGAGAGCUCUGACAGAGAAGCAUUUCCCCCACUCUGCCUCCCGCUCUGCACCUACCAUGAGAAGCCCCUUAUAGGCAUAGACGAUGCCAAGCCAGAUGGUCAUGUGGGUGUUCUCACAGUGCUCUAGGAGAGGGCGGAUGGAGAUGUCCCGUCCUGCCGGGUCCGGCUGUGCGAAGAGAAAACAGAAACCCAGGGAUGGCACUGGGCACCCUCCCAGCAGCCAAGUCCCUGUUUCAUAGCCCUUUUCCCUCCCAUGAGCCACAGCCAGUGCUACCAUCCAGGAGGCCUUUUGGACCCCAUCUCUGUGUUCCAUGGGACUCAGGCCUCAACCAGCGUUGACUGCCUUCUGUUUGUUGGUCGUGAUUCAGCUCUGACCUUCAGUUAUCUGAGUUCUUCAUGCAUUUCCAGCUUGAGUCAGAGCUCAGGAGUAGGGACUGGGUCACUUCUGUGCCCCUAGUACCUAGCACAAGACCUGGCCCAGAGCAGGCAUCUUUCUAUAACAUUUGUUAAAAGAGUAAGGGUGAGAAUGAAGCACAAAGUUAGGUGUGGAGGCCUUCAGGUGUCUCUGGAAUUAACUCAGGUAGCUGGGAGAUAGUAUCUACCGGCUAGACCAAGCACGGGGCCUGCCAAACCCCUUUAAGGAAGGAGAUCUUCUUGCCCACCACCUCCAUGGAGGGAGCAGUGGUGGCAGCCGUGUUAUGUACCACAUGAUGCACUCUGGGCCAGAGUUGAUUGGACAAGGGGUGGGCACCUGACCUUAGGUAGCCAAUCCGAGGCAUGUCAGGGACCUAUGAGGUUUCCUAGUGCAAAGUGCUCUGCCCAAAGAGGGGUGGUGGAGAGGAUCCAACCCAAGCACCGUUCUCUCUCUCAGGAAUUUGAACUGAGAAACUCCAGGAGAGAAUCAGCCAGAUGGUGGCAAGAGGAGAAAAAGACAACAAGGGAGUGAAAAAAUAUAUACUGUAGGUAUAUUUUUUUAAUGAACUAUUUGAGAGUAAGUUGCAGACAUCCUGGCCCUUCUUCACCCCUAAAUAUCUAGCAUGUUUUUCCUAAGAACAGGAGAUUCUCUUAUAUAACCACAUAUACCUACCAAAUUCAGGAAAUUUAACAUUGAUACAGUAUAUUAUCUAAUACACUACCUAUUUUUUAAUUUUGCUAAUUGGCCCAAUAAUGUCCUUUAAGGACCCAAUCCAGGACCAUGUGUUGCAUUUACUUAUCAUGUCUGUAGUCAGCCUUUGAAUCAGCCCUUCCUCCUUCAAUCUCAAGACCUCAGCAAGCCCAGAAAUAAACCCACACACCUACAGUCAAUUAAUCUUUGACAAAGGAGGCAAGAAUAUAAAAUGGGAAAAAGUCUCUUCAGCAAGUGGUGCUGUGAAAGUUGGACAGCCGCAUGUAAAUCAAUAAAGUUAGAACACACCCUCACACCAUGCACACACAAAAAACUCAAAAUGGCUUAAGAUUUAAAUGUUAGACAUGACACCAUAAACCUCCUAGAAGAGAACAUAGACAAAACAUUCUGUGACAUAAAUCAUACCAAUGUUUUCUUAGGUCAGUCUCCCAAAGCAGUAGAAAUAAAAAUAAACAAAUGGGACCUAAUUAAACUUAAAAGCUUUUGCAUAGCAAAGGAAACCAUUAAAAAAACGAAAAGAGGGAUUUCCCUGGUGGUGCAGUGGUUAAGAAUCCACCUGCCAAUGCAGGGGACAUGGGUUCGAGCCCUGGUCCGGGAAGAUCCCACAUGCCGCGGAGCAACUAAGCCCGUGCGCCACAACUACUGAGCCUGCAUUCUAGAGCCUGUGAGCCACAACUACUGAAGCCCGCGCGCCUAGAGCCCGUGCUCUGCAACAAGAGAAGCCACUGCAAUGAGAGGCCCGUGCGCCACAACAAGAGUACCCCUGCUCGCCGCAACUACAGAAAGCCUGUGCGCAGCAACGAAGACCCAAUGCAGCCAAAAAUAAACAAUUAAUUUUAAAAAGACGACAAACAAAAAAACCCCGAAAAGAUAGGGACUUCUGUGGUGGUCCAGUGGUUAAGACUCCAUGCUUCCACUGCAGAGGGCGUGGGUUCAUCCCCUGGUCAGAGAACCAAGAUCCUGCAUGCUGCUGGGUGGGGAUGGGGGGACCAAAAAGACAACCUAUGGACUGGGAGAAGGUAUUUGCAAAUGAUGUGACCAACAAGGGCUUAAUCUCCAAAAUAUAUAAACAGCUCAUACAACUCAACAGCAAAAAAACAACCCAAUCAAAAAAUGGGCAGAAGACCUUUGGAAAAAUAUCUAUUAAGAAGACAUACAGAUGGCCAAUAAGCAUGUGAAAAGAUGCUCAACAUCACUGUUAGGGAAAUGCAAAUCAAAACUACAAUGAGGUACCACCUCACACCGAUCAGAAUGGCCAUCACUAAAAUGUCUAGGGGCUUCCCUGGUGGCACAGUGGUUAAGAAUCUGCCUGCCAAUGCAGGGGACACAGGUUCGAGCCCUGGUCUGGGAAGAUCGCACUUGCCUCAGAGCAACUAAGCCCAUGCGCCUAGAGCCCCUGCUCUGCAACAAGAGAAGCCACUGUGACGAGAAGCCCGCGCACCACAACGAAGCACAGCCCCCACUCACUGCAACUAGAGAAAGCCCGCGUGCAGCAACGAAGACCCAACGCAACCAAAGAUUAAAAAAAAAAGUCUACAAAUAACAUAUGCUGGAGAGGGUGUGGAGAAAAGGGAACCCUCUUACACUGCUUGUGGCAAUGUCAGUUGGUGCAGCCACUAUGGAAAAGAGUAUGGAGGUUCCUCAGAAAACUAAAAAUAGAAUUACCGUAUGAUCCAGCAGUCCCACUCCUGGGCAUAUACCUGGACAAAACUAUAAUUCAAAAAGAUACAUGCACCCCUAUGUUCAUAGCAGCACUAUUUACAAUAGGCAAAACAUGGAAACAUCCUAAAUGUCCAUCGACAGAUGAAUGGAUAAAGAAGAUGUGGUACAUAUAUACAAUGGAAUACUACUCAGCCAUAAAAAAGAACGAAAUAAUGCCAUUUGCAGCAACAUGGAUGCAGUGAAGGAAGUCAGAAAGGGAAAGACAAAUACCACAUGAUAUCACUUAUAUGUGCGAUCUAAAAUAUGACACAAAUGAACUUAUCUAUGAAACAGAAACAGACACACAGACAUAGAGAUCAGACUUGGGGUUGCCAAGGGGAAGGGAGGGAGGGAGAGGGAUGGACUAGGAGUUUGGGGUUGGUAGAUGCAAACUAUUACAUUUAGAAUGGAUAACAACAAGGUCCUACUGUAUAGCACAGGGAACUAUAUAUCCAAUCUCCUGGGGUAAACCACAAUGGAAAAGAAUAUAAAAAAUAAUGCAUGUGUAUGUGUGUAUAACUGAGUCACUUUGCUGCACAGCAGAGAUGGGCAUAACAUGGUAAAUCAACUACACUUCAAUUAAAAAAAAAAAAGACCUCAGUCUA